UGCUCCCCCACACCAUGAAGAGGGCAGAGGAGCCCUCUGAGGCGGUGGGAGUAAGGUGGGAACUGGCACGGAGCAGACCCUGCAGAAAUGGAACUUCUCUGAGUGCCAGCUGUCCCCCGGCUGACCAGCUUAAAACUGCAUUCCCAAGAUGCUGUUCCAAGAUAGGUGAGAUCACAUGACUAAGAUCUGCCCAAUAGGAUGCGGGCAGAUGCGCACACUCCAGGUCUCAUCUGAAUGAGGAAAAUACUGUCCGUCACUUUCCCCACUUUCUCCACAGUUGGUCAAUGGUAACAAGAAGAGCUGCCAUCUUGAGUCCACAGCGGGAAGCCAUCUUAAGGAUGACAGAGCCUGGGUAGAACAUGAAAAGGGGCUGUUAUAUGAAAAAAAGGAAACAAAACAAAAACUUCUCUCUGAUUGGA